rnacentral:rRNA from 1 species
UACAGAGGUCCCAAGCGUUGUUCGGAUUUACUGGGCGUAAAGGGUGCGUAGGCGGUCGGGUAAGUCUGGUGUGAAAGCUCAGAGCCUAACUCUGAAACGGCACUGGAUACUAUCCGGCUAGAGGUUGGGAAGGGAGACUGGAAUUCUCGGUGUAGCAGUGAAAUGCGUAGAUAUCGAGAGGAACACCAGUGGCGAAGGCGAGUCUCUGGACCAAUCCUGACGCUGAGGCACGAAAGCCAGGGGAGCAAACGGG